GGGAAGUGACGCCUUCGGGUGGAACCUGCACAGGUGCUGCAUGGCUGUCGUCAGCUCGUGUCGUGAGAUGAGGGUUAAGUCCUCCAACGAGCGCAACCCUUGUCACUAGUUGCCAGCACGUCAAGUGGGGACUCUAGUGAGACUGCCGGUGUUAAACCGGAGGAAGGCGGGGACGACGUCAAGUCAUCAUGGCCUUUAUGCCCAGGGCUGCACACGUGCUACAAUGGCGCGUACAAAGGGAAGCGAACUUGCGAGAGCAGGCAAAUCCCAAAAAGCGCGCCCCAGUUCGGAUUGCAGGCUGCAACUCGCCUGCAUGAAGCCGGAAUCGCUAGUAAUCGCAGAUCAGCUAUGCUGCGGUGAAUGUGUUCCUGAGCCUU
rnacentral:rRNA from 1 species